AGCCUCAGCCAAAUCACCAAGCAGCUCAAGAGCGGUUACUCACUGAAGAUAACCAGAGCUGAGCUUGGUCAGUACCUGGAUGGGGGACCACACGGGAAAACUAGAUUGCUGCUGGAA
rnacentral:rRNA from 1 species